UAGGUGUUGUUUAGGCACGCAUGCUGGU
rnacentral:piRNA from 1 species